rnacentral:rRNA from 1 species
CAGCAGCCGCGGUAAUACGAAGGGUGCAAGCGUUAAUCGGAAUUACUGGGCGUAAAGCGUGCGUAGGUGGUGGUUUAAGUCCGUUGUGAAAGCCCUGGGCUCAACCUGGGAAUUGCAGUGGAUACUGGGUCACUAGAGUGUGGUAGAGGAUAGUGGAAUUUCCGGUGUAGCAGUGAAAUGCGUAGAGAUCGGAAGGAACAUCUGUGGCGAAGGCGACUAUCUGGGCCAACACUGACACUGAGGCACGAAAGCGUGGGGAGCAAACAGGAUUAGAUACCCGUGUAGUCCCUGUCUCUUAUAC